UACGGAGGGUGCGAGCGUUGUCCGGAAUUACUGGGCGUAAAGAGCUCGUAGGUGGUUUGUCGCGUUGUUCGUGAAAUCUCAUGGCUUAACUGUGAGCGUGCGGGCGAUACGGGCAGACUAGAGUACUGCAGGGGAGACUGGAAUUCCUGGUGUAGCGGUGGAAUGCGCAGAUAUCAGGAGGAACACCGGUGGCGAAGGCGGGUCUCUGGGCAGUAACUGACGCUGAGGAGCGAAAGCGUGGGGAGCGAACAGG
rnacentral:rRNA from 1 species